rnacentral:antisense_RNA from 1 species
GGCCUCUGGACUCCCCCUCGGGCUCCCUCUGCUCGCCGGACCUCUCUGGGAUGUGACCACCCUGGCUGCGAUGUGGUAACUAAAGACAGCAAAUACUGAAGCAGGAAAGAGAAGGUCCUUCUAACAGGAGAGACAUAAUGGCUGACUGGACUGGGGGAGGGAUAGUAAUAGUGACAGUAACAAGCCGUUAAGAGUCUGGAUAUAGUUUGAAGAAAGAGCCCACAGGAUCUGUGCUAACAGAAAUGAAGGACAAUGACAAGAUUUUUGUCUAAGCGACUGAAAAAUGGAGGUACUGGUUUGCUAACAUGAGUAAAAACAACGUAUGAGGAAGAAAUAUCAGGGGCCCAGUUCUGGGUAGGUUAACUUUGUUAUUAGACAUCUGAGUGGAGAUAUUGAGUUAAGGAACCUUGAAUUCAGACGAGAGGUCAGGGCUGAAGAUAUAAAUUCAGGAGUCAUCAUCAGAUAUAGAUAAUUCUUAAAGGAAUGAAAAAGAAUGAGACUACCCAGGGACUAAGUGAAGCGAGAGAAGCAGGGAGCCGAGCCCAAGGACUGAAUCUGGGAUACUUCCAACACGAGGAGAAAGAGAACUGGCAAGGGUGACUGGAAAGAGGCCAGGGAAGAA